UAAUUUGUUUUUGACCAAACUCUAAUAGAUUUUAGUUGUUCUUUUUGUUUUGGUUCACAGGUUCUUGUGCUUGGGAGGAUUGAACACAGGCCCUUGAGUUUGUUUGUGAGGCAGAAGGAGGAACCACUGAGCUAAAUCCCUGGUUCCAAAAUUUCCCAGAUUUUGCUUCAACACAGUUCUUCUUCUACAGCUAUAUUAAGUUUUAUUGUUUUCAGGCCCACUUUUCUUCUUGAUGCAAACAUUUCCACAUCCUGCUGCAUGGAGACACGCCUCUGGAGGACAGUAACUGGAAAUUAUAGUUAUUUGUGCAUCCAGUCUUGAUAUCGGAUAUAUCAGCCAG
rnacentral:lncRNA from 1 species